GAAGAAAGAUGAGAAAUGUACAAGACAUAAUCAAAUACGUGGAUCAACCCAAGGCUUACCUCCACCGGACUGCAGACUUCAUUAUGAAAGAAAGAAUAAAUAUAAGAGAAGAUCACACCCUCUCAACCUCGUACAUCAAUCUCUCUCUCAAUAAAAAGUAUAAAAAUCCUUACAAAGCUCUCAAAAUCUCCUAAGGAGACUCUUUGGCUGCUACCCAAG
rnacentral:lncRNA from 1 species